rnacentral:rRNA from 1 species
CCUACGGGGGGCAGCAGUGAGGAAUAUUGGUCAAUGGCCGGAAGGCUGAACCAGCCAAGCCGCGUGAAGGACGAAGGUGCCAAGCAUUGUAAACUUCUUUUGUCAAGGGACAAACUCAGGCUCGAGAGCCUGACCGAGGGUACUUGUAGAAAAAGCAUCGGCUAACUCCGUGCCAGCAGCCGCGGUAAUACGGGGGAUGCAAGCGUUAUCCGGAUUUAUUGGGUUUAAAGGGUGCGUAGGCUGGGAGGUAAGUCAGCGGUGAAAUGCCCCCGCUCAACGGGGUGAAGUGCCGUUGAUACUGGCUGGCUGGAAUGCGGGUGCAGUGGGAGGAAUGUGUGGUGGAGCGGUGAAAUGCAUAGAUAUCACACAGAACACCGAUUGCGAAGGC